rnacentral:rRNA from 1 species
GCCCGAUCUCGUCCGAUCUCGGAAGCUAAGCAGGGUCGGGCCUGGUUAGUACUUGGAUGGGAGACCUCCUGGGAAUACCGGGUGCUGUAGGCU